rnacentral:lncRNA from 1 species
UACGCUUUCCCACCACGCCUGUGGUAGCCAGACUGCUUGAACACUUCCCUGCCUGGGGGUCUAAGCCUUCCUUCUCAGGUCUAUCCAUCCUUUAACAUCUAGCUAAAUCACUUUUGUGGAGGGUUUUGAGAUUCCUCCAACCUUGGUGAUAUGGGACAGUAUCAUCCCUAGACCUUGGCAAGAGAGACCACUGAGUGAGGCAUCCAUGGAACCCAAGGAAGAGGCCUACGAAGAACCUGCAGUCACCUUCUAGACCAUUCUCCCUCACCAAACUGUCCCCUCCAGAGAGCUGAGGACUGGAUCUUCCCAUGCUGACACCUCCAGUGGGAAAGAAAAUUCUAGAUUCAGCUCUGGGUGUCCAAGUCAUUAUGAAGGCAUAUUUGUCAAGGUGGAAGAAAAGGACAUAUUCUAUUUAGCAGUUUGUAAGUUUGAUCGAUAACUUUAAAAUAUUUGGACCUAUGGUGUGGGUGCCACUUGCCUCUUAAUCAGUGUUGGGUAGGAGUAGAACUUGCUACGGGCAACCUGUUUCCCCACCUGCUGCACUCCUGUAUUAUGACAUGAGGUUUUUAAAAAUAAGUACAAACUUAUCUGAAAGGAAGUUGGUCCUUCCUGGCCCUUCAGCAUAGUUUUAGCUGCUCCUGUUUUGUUCUGUUAUCAUUAUUCUUCCACUCUCCUAUUUUGUGCCGAAGUAAUAAGAUGUUUCCAUGGGAGUAUGCAUUUGUCCCAAUAAAAGGACUUUUAGUGAACCAAUAGAACAAGUCCCCCAAACCCACCUCCAAGUCGCAAUGAUAGUCUCACCAUGCAAGAGGAAAGGUGGUUUUAGGUGCAGCAGCUUAUGGGGUGAGACUUGGGAAUGAGGCUCCUGCGUCUUACAUGGCACCCACUCAUGCCUGCUGUGCAAGUCAAUUUCUAUGUCUGCCCCCAGGCAAUGUCCAGCCACCUACUGAUCGUAUGUGAUGGGGGGUGAGGAGGAGAUACUUUGCAUGGCCCCCAGUGACAAAGAAGAGGCCCUUAGCUAUAGCUACUCUUGUGUGAGUACAGGGGAGGAUUUCUCAAGGAGCAGAAAUAGCUUCUCCUUGAACGUAUUUGGCAAUUUUCAAAGGCAUAUCAGAUGCCAGAAAAUUAAUGCAAAGAGUUUAUGUUGGCAAAAAGGCAUUUGGUUGAAUACAAACUCACCUGGAUUUUUCCUUUCUGUAAAUGGGAAGAGACUGUGGCUUUUCUUUUCUAGGAGCACCAGGAAGGGUUGGCUGUUCCCAGGUGAGAGGGUGGCAGCCAAGCCUUCCCAGUGGCUCACACCACCUCCUGCUCCCUUCCACCACCAACCCUCUGGGGAGCGCUCUGCCUGGGGGCUUCCCUCAACCUCCCUGCUCCCUUCCCCCUCAAGGACAUAAUGACUGAGCCCCUGUUGCUCUGUCACAGUUAAACUAACUUCACUUCUAAAUAUUCACUUGGGCAAAAAUAUUCUCUUUAAUAUUUUUCUUCUCAUUUUUUUUCUCUUUGAAAUCUUAUCUAACUACUUGAGUAAAACCUGUCUUCCUUUUCUCACUCAAUUCUAUUUUUGAAUCAGAAUAUUACUCCUAUCAUGGUUUAAGUAUAGGACUGACACACCACCUCAAAGCAUGUCAGGAAUUGAAAGCAUCUUCUUUUUUAUAUUUGAUACAAAAUGUAUCCUGGUCUUGCUGUCUGCUGCUGGCCCCGUGCUAGUUUAGAGGACAACUUCUCUUCACUGAGGACAACACAGAAUCCUGGAGAUAUUUUUGAUGAGUAGU